UACGAAGGGGGCUAGCGUUGCUCGGAAUCACUGGGCGUAAAGCGCACGUAGGCGGGUCGGUAAGUCAGGGGUGAAAUCCUGGAGCUCAACUCCAGAACUGCCCUUGAUACUGGCGAUCUCGAGUUCGGGAGAGGUGAGUGGAACUGCGAGUGUAGAGGUGAAAUUCGUAGAUAUUCGCAAGAACACCAGUGGCGAAGGCGGCUCACUGGCCCGGUACUGACGCUGAGGUGCGAAAGCGUGGGGAGCAAACAGG
rnacentral:rRNA from 1 species